GAGCUGUUGUGGGUGCUGUUGUGGUGGUUGCAGCAGCUGUUGUGGUAGUUUCUGGAGCUGUUGUGGUGGUUGCUGAAGCUGUUGUGGUGGUUGCAGCAGCUGUUGUGGUAGUUGGAGCAGCUGUUGUGGUAGUUGCAGCAGCUGUUGUGGUAGUUUCUGAAGCUGUUGUGGGUGCUGUUGUGGUAGUGGUGGCAGCUGUUGUGGUAGUUGCUGGAGCUGUUGUGGUAGUUGUAGUUGCUGUUGUGGGGGCCAUUGUGGGUGUUGUUGUGGUAGUGGUGGUAGCUGUUGUGGUAAGUGCUGCAGCUGUUAUGGGGGCUGUUGUGGUGGUUGCAUUAGCUGUGGUUGUUGUAGUCGCUGUAGUUGCUGUUGUGGGUGCUGUUAUGGGAGCUGUGGUACUUGCAGCAGCUGUUGUGGUAGUUUCUGGAGCUGUUGUGGGUGCUGUUGUGGUAGUGGUGGGAGCUGCUGUGGCAGCUGUUGUGGUAGUUUCUGGAGCUGUUGUGGUAGUUGCAGCAGCUGUUGUGGUGGUUGCAGCAGCUGCUGUGGUAGUUGCAGCAGCUGUUGUGGUUGCUGGAGCUGUUGUGGUGGUUGCAGCAGCUGUUGUGGUAGUUGGAGCAGCUGUUGUGGUAGUUGCAUCAGCUGUUGUGGUAGUUUCUGGAGCUGUUGUGGUGGUUGCAGCAGCUGUUGUGGUAGUUUCUGGAGCUGUUGUGGUUGUUGCUGGAGCUGUUGUGGUGGUUGCAGCAGCUGUUGUGGUAGUUGGAGCAGCUGUUGUGGUAGUUGCAGCAGCUGUUGUGGUAGUUAUUGUUGCUGUCGUGGGAGCCAUUGUGGGUGCUGUUGUGGUAGUGGUGGUUGCUGUUGUGGUAAUUAAUGCAGCUGUUAUGGGGGCUGUUGUGGUGGUUGCAGCAGCUGUGGUUGUUGUAGUCGCUGUAGUUGCUGUUGUGGGUGCUGUGGUGGUAGUUGUAGUUGCUGUUAUGGGGGCCGUUGUAGUAGUUGUAGUUGCUGUUGUGGGGGCUGUUGUGGUAGUUGUAGUUGCUGUUAUGGGGGCCGUUGUAGUAGUUGUAGUUGCUGUUGUGGGUUCCACUGAAGUUGUUGUUGUGAUCUCUGAGGAAUCAAGGGGGUCAUUUCAGUAAAUCUGUGCUGACAAUGCCCUCCUUUAAACAAACACAUGGUUGAAUACAGGUAUGGAAAUAAUUGCUUGCUUACCUUCAAAUAUUCCUGAACCUUCCUCUAUGAUUUCCCGUCGGGC
ensembl:lncRNA